GACGGGGGAUGCAAGUGUUAUCCGGAAUCACUGGGCGUAAAGCGUCUGCAGGUGGUUUCCUAAGUCCACUGUUAAACCUUGAGGCUCAACCCCAAAUCUGCAUUGGAAACUAGGAGACUUGAGUAUAGUAGGGGUAGAGGGAAUUUCCAGUGGAGCGGUGAAAUGCGUAGAUAUUGGAAAGAACACCGAUGGCGAAGGCACUCUACUGGGCUAUUACUGACACUCAGAGACGAAAGCUAGGGUAGCAAAUGGG
rnacentral:rRNA from 1 species